rnacentral:rRNA from 1 species
UACGUAGGGUGCAAGCGUUAAUCGGAAUUACUGGGCGUAAAGCGUGCGCAGGCGGUUUUGUAAGUCUGUCGUGAAAUCCCCGGGCUCAACCUGGGAAUUGCGAUGGAGACUGCAAGGCUAGAAUCUGGCAGAGGGGGGUAGAAUUCCACGUGUAGCAGUGAAAUGCGUAGAGAUGUGGAGGAACACCGAUGGCGAAGGCAGCCCCCUGGGUCAAGAUUGACGCUCAUGCACGAAAGCGUGGGGGAUCAAACAGG